GGCAGAGGGAGCCCGACCCCCGUGCGCUCGACCCUCGCGGCGACGGCGCAUGAGGAAAGUCCCCCCACCCCCGGACGGGCGACCGGGCGCAAGCCCGGAGUCGGAGACGGCUGGCUCUGGAACAGCAACGAGACCCCCCGCCCCGACCCAUGAGGUGCGACGGCGACCUUCCGGUCGCCGCCGGCGUCUGCGGUCCGCCGCGGACGCGCGAACCGACCCGAGAGGGAAGGGAGUGAACCCACCGAGGGCCGCGGCUUCGCCGCGAGACGGGCGGGAACGGAUGGAACGGCGAAUCCUCGCCGGUGCAAGCCCGCGUCGACGGGCGGCCACCACGCGGCGGUCGCCCCGAUGGUAGUCCGGGUGCUCGCCUCGCGCGAGCGACCGGGGCAUGCGCCCCGCGACCGACGCGGACGCUCAGCCGAAUGUCGGGCCGAACAGAAGGGGGCUUACUCCCCUCAGCC
rfam:Halobaculum gomorrense strain DSM 9297 genome assembly, contig: Ga0131215_107